UAGGGAAUCUUCCACAAUGGACGAAAGUCUGAUGGAGCAACGCCGCGUGAGUGAUGAAGGUUUUCGGAUCGUAAAACUCUGUUGUAAGGGAAGAACCAGUACGUCAGGCAAUGGACGUACCUUGACGGUACCUUAUUAGAAAGCCACGGCUAACUACGUGCCAGCAGCCGCGGUAAUACGUAGGUGGCAAGCGUUGUCCGGAAUUAUUGGGCGUAAAGCGCGCGCAGGUGGUUUCUUAAGUCUGAUGUGAAAGCCCACGGCUUAACCGUGGAGGGUCAUUGGAAACUGGGAGACUUGAGUGCAGAAGAGGAAAGUGGAAUUCCAAGUGUAGCGGUGAAAUGCGUAGAGAUUUGGAGGAACACCAGUGGCGAAGGCGACUUUCUGGUCUGCAACUGACGCUGAGGCGCGAAAGCAUGGGGAGCAAACAGGAUUAGAUACCCUGGUAGUCCAUGCCGUAAACGAUGAGUGCUAAGUGUUAGGGGGUUUCCGCCCCUUAGUGCUGCAGCUAACGCAUUAAGCACUCCGCCUGGGGAGUACGACCGCAAGGUUG
rnacentral:rRNA from 1 species